rnacentral:rRNA from 1 species
UACGUAGGCAGCAAGCGUUGUUCGGAGUUACUGGGCGUAAAGGGUGUGUAGGCGGUUCUUUAAGUUUGGGGUGAAAUCUCCCGGCUCAACUGGGAGGGUGCGCCGAAUACUGAGGGACUAGAGUACGGGAGAGGAAAGUGGAAUUCCUGGUGUAGCGGUGAAAUGCGUAGAUAUCAGGAGGAACACCGGUGGUGUAGACGGCUUUCUGGACCGACACUGACGCUGAGACACGAAAGCGUGGGUAGCAAACAGG